GACGAACGCUGGCGGCGUGCCUAAUACAUGCAAGUCGAACGAGAGCGCCCGGUGCUUGCACUGGUCAAUCUAGUGGCGGACGGGUGAGUAACACGUGGGUAACCUGCCCAUCAGAGGGGGAUAACAUUCGGAAACGGAUGCUAAAACCGCAUAGGUCUUCGAACCGCAUGGUUUGAAGUGGAAAAGAGGCGCAAGCUUCUGCUGAUGGAUGGACCCGCGGUGCAUUAGCUAGUUGGUGAGGUAACGGCUCACCAAGGCCGUGAUGCAUAGCCGACCUGAGAGGGUGAUCGGCCACAUUGGGACUGAGACACGGCCCAAACUCCUACGGGAGGCAGCAGUAGGGAAUGUUGCGCAAUCGACGCAAGUCUGACGGAGCAACGCCGCGUGUAUGAAGAAGGUUUUCGGAUCGUAAAGCUCUUUUGUUGGAGAAGAAUAAGUACUAGAGUAACUGUUAGUGCCUUGACGGUAUCUAACCAGAAAGCCACGGCUAACUACGUG
rnacentral:rRNA from 1 species